UACGUAGGGUGCGAGCGUUGUCCGGAAUUAUUGGGCGUAAAGGGCUCGUAGGCGGUCUGUCACGUCGGGAGUGAAAACUCAGGGCUUAACCCUGAGCCUGCUUCCGAUACGGGCAGACUAGAGGUAUGCAGGGGAGAACGGAAUUCCUGGUGUAGCGGUGAAAUGCGCAGAUAUCAGGAGGAACACCGGUGGCGAAGGCGGCCUGCUGGGCUGUUGCUGACGCUGAGGCGCGACAGCGUGGGGAGCAAACAGG
rnacentral:rRNA from 1 species